GGCCAGCCCCAAGAUUCCAUGGAUUUUGAAAUGGUCAAGUCAGGGCUGGCAGACCCAGCCAAACGCACACCACCUCCUCUAGUGGAACGGCUUGAGACAGAGCUCCGACACCCAUCGGAAGCAGGAACGCACAGGCAGACCUACGAUUCAUUCAAAGCAAAAUAAUUCCUCCUGCCUUGCAGUGACCCCACGGUUUAUGUACUCACUUAUGCUGAAAAUAAAUACACUUUAAAGAGC